GCCUGGGUGGCUCAGUCGGUUGAGCAUCUGACUUCGGCUCAGGUCAUGGUCUCACAAUUCGUGAGUUCGAGCCCCGCAUUGGGCU
rnacentral:tRNA from 1 species